rnacentral:tRNA from 1 species
UGACCUAUGGUGUAAUGGUAACACAGCUGAUUUUGGUUCAGUCGUUCUAGGUUCGAGUCCUAGUAGGUCAACGA